rnacentral:rRNA from 1 species
GACGAACGCUGGCGGCGUGCCUAAUACAUGCAAGUCGAACGAGAGCGACCGGUGCUUGCGCUGGUCAAUCUAGUGGCGAACGGGUGAGUAACACGUGGGUAACCUGCCCAUCAGAGGGGGAUAACAUUCGGAAACGGAUGCUAAAACCGCAUAGGUCCUUUAACCGCAUGGUUGAAGGAGGAAAAGAGGCGCAAGCUUCUGCUGAUGGAUGGACCCGCGGUGCAUUAGCUAGUUGGUGAGGUAACGGCUCACCAAGGCCGUGAUGCAUAGCCGACCUGAGAGGGUGAUCGGCCACAUUGGGACUGAGACACGGCCCAAACUCCUACGGGAGGCAGCAGUAGGGAAUCUUCCGCAAUGGACGCAAGUCUGACGGAGCAACGCCGCGUGAGUGAAGAAGGUUUUCGGAUCGUAAAACUCUGUUGUUAGAGAAGAACAAGUGCUAGAGUAACUGUUAGCGCCUUGACGGUAUCUAACCAGAAAGCCACGGCUAACUACGUGCCAGCAGCCGCGGUAAUACGUAGGUGGCAAGCGUUGUCCAGAUUUAUUGGGCGUAAAGCGAGCGCAGGCGGUUCCUUAAGUCUGAUGUGAAAGCCCCCGGCUCAACCGGGGAGGGUCAUUGGAAACUGGGGAACUUGAGUGCAGAAGAGGAGAGUGGAAUUCCAUGUGUAGCGGUGAAAUGCGUAGAUAUAUGGAGGAACACCAGUGGCGAAGGCGACUCUCUGGUCUGUAACUGACGCUGAGGCUCGAAAGCGUGGGUAGCAAACAGG